rnacentral:rRNA from 1 species
GAUGAACGCUGGCGGCGUGCUUAACACAUGCAAGUCGAACGAACCUUCGGGUUAGUGGCGGACGGGUGAGUAACGCGUGAGAAUCUGCCCUCAGGAGGGGGAUAACGGCUGGAAACGGCCGCUAAUACCCCAUAUGCCGCGAGGUGAAAUGAAUUUCGCCUGAGGAUGAGCUCGCGUCUGAUUAGCUAGUUGGUGGGGUAAGAGCCUACCAAGGCGACGAUCAGUAGCUGGUCUGAGAGGAUGAUCAGCCACACUGGGACUGAGACACGGCCCAGACUCCUACGGGAGGCAGCAGUGGGGAAUUUUCCGCAAUGGGCGAAAGCCUGACGGAGCAACGCCGCGUGAGGGAUGAAGGCCUCUGGGCUGUAAACCUCUUUUUUCAAGGAAGAAGAUCUGACGGUACUUGAAGAAUAAGCCACGGCUAAUUCCGUGCCAGCAGCCGCGGUAAUACGGGAGUGGCAAGCGUUAUCCGGAAUUAUUGGGCGUAAAGCGUCCGCAGGCGGCCUUGAAAGUCUGUCGUUAAAGCGUGGAGCUUAACUCCAUUUAAGCGAUGGAAACUACAAGGCUAGAGUGUGGUAGGGGCAGAGGGAAUUCCCGGUGUAGCGGUGAAAUGCGUAGAUAUCGGGAAGAACACCAGUGGCGAAGGCGCUCUGCUGGGCCAUAACUGACGCUCAUGGACGAAAGCCAGGGGAGCGAAAGGGAUUAGAUACCCCUGUAGUCCUGGCCGUAAACGAUGAACACUAGGUGUCGGGGGAAUCGACCCCCUCGGUGUCGUAGCCAACGCGUUAAGUGUUCCGCCUGGGGAGUACGCACGCAAGUGUGAAACUCAAAGGAAUUGACGGGGGCCCGCACAAGCGGUGGAGUAUGUGGUUUAAUUCGAUGCAACGCGAAGAACCUUACCAGGGUUUGACAUCCUGCGAAUCUUUUGGAAACAGAAGAGUGCCUUCGGGAGCGCAGAGACAGGUGGUGCAUGGCUGUCGUCAGCUCGUGUCGUGAGAUGUUGGGUUAAGUCCCGCAACGAGCGCAACCCACGUCGUUAGUUGCCAGCAUUCAGUUGGGCACUCUAGCGAGACCGCCGGUGAUAAACCGGAGGAAGGUGUGGAUGACGUCAAGUCAUCAUGCCCCUUACAUCCUGGGCUACACACGUACUACAAUGCUACGGACAAAGGGCAGCAAACUCGCGAGAGCUAGCAAAUCCCAUAAACCGUGGCUCAGUUCAGAUCGUAGGCUGCAACUCGCCUACGUGAAGGAGGAAUCGCUAGUAAUCGCAGGUCAGCAUACUGCGGUGAAUACGUUCCCGGGCCUUGUACACACCGCCCGUCACACCAUGGAAGUUGGCCACGCCCGAAGUCGUUACUCCAACCCUUGUGGAGGAGGACGCCGAAGGUGGGGCUGAUGACUGGGG